rnacentral:rRNA from 1 species
UACGUAGGGGGCUAGCGUUGUCCGGAUUUAUUGGGCGUAAAGAGCGUGUAGGCGGCCAGGUAGGUCUGGUGUGAAAACUCGAGGCUUAACCUUGAGAUGUCAUCGGAAACCAUUUGGCUAGAGUCCGGAAGAGGAAGGUGGAAUUCCUGAUGUAGCGGUGAAAUGCGCAGAUAUCAGGAAGAACACCAAUGGCGAAAGCAGCUUUCUGGGACGGUACUGACGCUGAGACGCGAAAGCGUGGGGAGCGAACAGG